GAGCAACAGGCUGGCAGCCUGCGUGGUUCGGGACCACGAGGCCGGCGGUUCAAAUCCGCCUUGCCCG
rnacentral:tRNA from 1 species